UGGGGUUUUGCUCAGUGGUAGAGUGCAUACCUAGCACGUGUGAGGCCCUGGGUUCGAUCCUCAGCACCACAU
rnacentral:tRNA from 1 species